CAAUAAGCGGAGGAAAAGAAACCAACAGGGAUUGCCCCAGUAACGGCGAGUGAAGCGGCAACAGCUCAAAUUUGAAAUCUGGCCUCGUGCCCGAGUUGUAAUUUGUAGAGGAUGCUUUUGGCGACGCGCCUUCCGAGUUCCCUGGAACGGGACGCCAUAGAGGGUGAGAGCCCCGUCCGGUCGUGCGCCUAGCCUCUGUAAAGCUCCUUCGACGAGUCGAGUAGUUUGGGAAUGCUGCUCUAAAUGGGAGGUAUACGUCUUCUAAAGCUAAAUACCGGCCAGAGACCGAUAGCGCACAAGUAGAGUGAUCGAAAGAUGAAAAGCACUUUGAAAAGAGGGUUAAAUAGUACGUGAAAUUGCUGAAAGGGAAGCGCUUAUGACCAGACUUGGGCGCGGCGGAUCAUCCGGCGUUCUCGCCGGUGCACUCCACCGCCCCAGGCCAGCAUCAGUUCGCGCCGGGGGACAAAGGCUUCGGGAAUGUGGCUCCCUCGGGAGUGUUAUAGCCCGCUGCGUAAUACCCUGGCGCGGACUGAGGUCCGCGCUCUGCAAGGAUGCUGGCGUAAUGGUCAUCAGUGACCCGUCUUGAAACACGGACCAAGGAGUCGUCUUCGUAUGCGAGUGUUCGGGUGUCAAACCCCUACGCGGAAUGAAAGUGAACGUAGGAGAGAGCUUCGGCGCAUCUCCGACCGAUCCUGAUGUUCUCGGAUGGAUUUGAGUAAGAGCAUACGGGGCCGGACCCGAAAGAAGGUGAACUAUGCCUGUGUAGGGUGAAGCCAGAGGAAACUCUGGUGGAGGCUCGCAGCGGUUCUGACGUGCAAAUCGAUCGUCAAACAUGGGCAUGGGGGCGAAAGACUAAUCGAACCUUCUAGUAGCUGGUUUCCGCCGAAGUUUCCCUCAGGAUAGCAGUGUUGAACUCAGUUUUAUGAGGUAAAGCGAAUGAUUAGGGACCCGGGGG
rnacentral:rRNA from 1 species